rnacentral:rRNA from 1 species
UACGAAGGGGGCUAGCGUUGUUCGGAAUUACUGGGCGUAAAGCGCGUGUAGGCGGGUCUUUAAGUCAGGGGUGAAAUGCCAGGGCUCAACCUUGGAACUGCCUUUGAUACUGGAGACCUUGAGUCCGGGAGAGGUGAGUGGAAUUGCGGGUGUAGAGGUGAAAUUCGUAGAUAUUCGCAAGAACACCAGUGGCGAAGGCGGCUCACUGGCCCGGAACUGACGCUGAGACGCGAAAGCGUGGGGAGCAAACAGGG